GGAAAACCUUCAUUACCCGAAAAAACCCAGGAAAGCGACCAUAACUACUCUGCAAUAGACGUAACUCUGCAAGGAAAGCGUGGUCCAGAAUCGACGCCGCCAACCCCAAGUAAGAGUAAAGAUAAGAAGUCUAAGACCAAUGAUGAUGAAAACGAAGGAACUCAAGCUUCCAACAAUGAUAUUUUAAAAGCAAUUUUGGAGCUGGGACAACGAGUGACUGGAAUGGAGUCGCAGCUAAGUGAUAUCAGGGAGCAAAACCGACAGAACGCCGCCAUGAUAGUUAAUCUGACCAAGACAGUGCAGUUCAACUCGGAGGAGUUAGAACAAACUAAAAAGAAAGUUUCUGAACUGGAGAAGAUUAACAGUCAUUUAUUGCAGGAAAACACAGAACUGAAGGAGAAAGUAAAUGAUCAAAAGCGAUAUAGCAUGAGGUCUUGUCUCAAAGUGAGGGGACUGAAGGAGCAAAAAGAUGAAAACCUUAGAAUGAUUGUCAUUCCCAUUUUACAGAAAAUUGUUCCUGAAUUUGCUACCAAGAUGGAGCUUGCGGUGGAUGUUGUACAUAGACUUGGCAAGAAAGAAGAUAACCGGACCAGGCAUGUCAUUAUCCGAUUUGUGCACAGGCAUGUUAGGGAUGAAAUAUGGAGCAGGACCAAAAAGUCACCCAUUUGCAAAACGGAAGGCAUCACCUUUGCUGAGAUGUUAAUUCGUGAGGAUCUGGAGGCUCGACAACGCAAGUGGCCCUUGGUUGACCAAGCUAGACGAGGGGGACAGCGGGCAUAUUUUCGUGGACCUCACGUAUACAUCGAGGGACGACGGGUGGAGGACAUGGAUCUGCAGACUACCUAAAGACUCACUCAUCGGAAGCUGAUGCAUCGUUUUGGUCCAAUCAAUGGGGUGAUAAAAUCUUGUAUAGCCAUGGCUCUUCAAGAUCUGGAGGAGUCGCGAUUUGUUUUAACAAUUUUCACGGAGACAACAUCACACAUCGGACUGAUACAGAAGGACACUGGUUGGCGGCCGUGGUUAAAAUAGAAGGUUUGUUCCUGAUAUUGAUAAAUGUUUAUGGAUAUAACAACAACAGUCAAAAUAAGGUAAUGCUAGAUGAUAUAACAAAUGUGGUAACAGAACUCAAAGGCAGAUACCCUUCAGAUUACAUAUUGUGUGGAGGUGAU
ensembl:lncRNA